GACGAACGCUGGCGGCGUGCUUAACACAUGCAAGUCGAACGAGUGGCGACCGGGUGAGUAAUACGUGGUUAACCUGCCCUCUUUUUGGGAUAAGCAUUGGAAACGGGGACUAAUACCGAAUAAAGGGGGAUGGGCUCGCGGCCUAUCCGCUUGUUGGUGGGGUGAUGGCCUACCAAGGCGGUGACGGGUGGCCGUCCUGGGAGGGUGACCGGGAACGUGAGGACUUAGAUACCGCCCAGGCUGGUACGAGAAGAAGUAGUGGGGGAUAUUGCACAAUGUGCGAAAGCCUGAAGCAGCGACGCAGCGUGGGGGAGGAAGGCGUUCGGGUUGUAGACCACUAUCGCUAUCGAACAGGUAGGUGGAGAAGAAGCGCCGGCUAACUACGUGCCAGCAGCCGCGGUAAUAC
rnacentral:rRNA from 1 species